UCGUGUUGUUAUUAUAGGUGAACAAAUUAAAAGGAACAUUUUAUCGAUAUUAAACGCGUGUAAUUUAAGUGAUACGUGAUUUGUUUGCUUAAUGUCAAUACAGCGUGGAAUGUAUUCCAUUUUUGAGUGAUAGGUUGCCGUAUUGGUGUUUCGCGCGGAAACGACAGUCGCUGCGCAUAAAGGCGGGAAGACGUUCCCUUUUCGGUUUAUUUUUUUUUUUUAAUUUAUUUUAUUCCAUCAAAUGGCUGUGAUAGUGUUGUGAUGUGUUACCGGUUUUAUUUUUGAUGUUAACAAUUGCGUUAAUCGUUGGAGUUGUUUUAAUUUGCUAUUUAUUUAAGUUUUUUGUUAAAUCCUCCGAGGAGGCCAUUUCUUCAAGCAACAAGAUGUCGGAACAGGAGCAAGCGCGCUGCUCCUCCAGCGAGAGUGACAAUUUCGAGAAGAUUGACUCCGAAGAGGUCAGGCAGGAUGAAAAUGGCGAGCCUAUAAAGUUCGUGGUAGAUAAUGAGCCGGAGUCCCCUGAUGCAGCCACGGAGGAGGAUGGGCCAGCGCACGAGGGCCGCGACUCGUUCCCCAACGCGCCGCCGCCCAACAUCCGGCGGAGACUCACUCCUGCGCAGCAGCUCGCGCUCGCCGAAAAACGAGCUAAGCUCAGACCCUCUAUGUCUCAAGGCACGGUCGUGCACAGCCAUCGCUUCCAAGAGAAGGACUUUACAGUCGCCACGCCUGAGGAGUUUGUACGCCGCUUCCAGGGAACUAAGCCCAUCAAUAAGGUGUUAAUCGCGAACAACGGUAUUGGCGCUGUAAAAUGCAUGAGGUCUAUCCGAAGAUGGUCCUACGAGAUGUUCAAGAACGAACGAGCUGUCCGCUUCGUUGUCAUGGUGACUCCAGAAGACCUGAAGGCCAAUGCGGAGUACAUAAAGAUGGCGGACCACUACGUGCCCGUGCCCGGGGGAUCCAACAACAACAACUACGCGAAUGUGGAGCUCAUCGUCGACAUCGCUAUAAGGACCCAAGUUCAGGCGGUAUGGGCAGGCUGGGGCCACGCGUCGGAGAACCCGAAACUGCCCGAGCUGCUCCACCGCGCCGGCGUGGUUUUCAUCGGUCCCCCCGAGAAGGCUAUGUGGGCGUUAGGAGACAAGAUCGCCUCGUCCAUUGUCGCCCAGACCGCUGACAUACCAACAUUGCCCUGGAGUGGUAGCGAACUGAAAGCGGAGUACAACAGUAAGAAGAUCAAGAUAUCCUCGGAACUGUUUGCCAAGGGAUGUGUCACCACACCCGAGCAGGGUUUGCAGGCUGCUCAGAAAAUUGGGUUCCCGGUGAUGAUCAAGGCUUCGGAGGGUGGCGGCGGCAAGGGCAUCAGGAAGGUGGAGAACCCAGACGACUUCAAUAACAUGUUUCGACAGGUUCAAGCGGAGGUGCCCGGCUCGCCGAUAUUCGUGAUGAAGCUAGCCAAGUCCGCGCGGCAUCUGGAGGUGCAGCUGUUGGCAGACCAGUACGGCAACGCCAUAUCUCUGUUCGGGCGCGACUGCUCGAUCCAACGUCGCCACCAGAAGAUCAUAGAAGAGGCGCCGGCGGCCGUCGCCAAGCCAGACGUCUUUAUUGAGAUGGAGAAGGCUGCGGUCCGCCUAGCCAAAAUGGUGGGCUACGUAAGCGCGGGCACAGUGGAAUACCUGUACGACCCUAGCAGCGGCUCCUACUACUUCCUCGAGCUCAACCCUCGCCUGCAAGUGGAGCAUCCUUGCACUGAGAUGGUGGCCGACGUAAAUCUGCCCGCCGCUCAACUGCAGAUCGCAAUGGGGUUGCCUCUCUACCAAAUCAAGGACAUCCGCCUCUUAUAUGGCGAGUCUCCGUGGGGUAUGACACAGAUUGACUUCGACGAGCCCAAGCAGCGGCCGUCGCCGUGGGGUCACGUCAUCGCCGCUAGGAUCACCUCCGAGAACCCUGAUGAAGGUUUCAAACCUUCAUCGGGAACCGUACAAGAGCUGAACUUCCGUUCAUCAAAGAACGUAUGGGGCUACUUUAGCGUGGCGGCGUCAGGAGGGCUGCACGAGUUCGCUGACUCGCAGUUUGGACACUGCUUCUCAUGGGGCGAGACCAGGGAGCAGGCCAGAGAGAAUCUGGUGAUAGCCCUCAAAGAGCUGAGCAUCCGGGGCGACUUCCGCACCACCGUGGAAUACCUCAUCACGCUGCUGGAGACCAGCUCCUUCCAGGACAACAACAUUGACACCGCCUGGUUGGACGCCCUCAUCGCUGAGAGGGUACAAUCGGAGAAGCCAGACAUAAUGCUGGGCGUGAUCUGCGGCUCAAUCCUGAUAGCUGACAGCAUAAUUACUGCCCAUCUCCAGGAGUUCAAGAGUGCGCUAGAGAAGGGUCAAAUCCAAGGGUCAUCGCAGCUGUCGAACAACGUGGACGUGGAGCUAAUCCACGAGGGUACGAAGUACCGCGUGCAAGCCACCAAGUCUGGCCCCACCUCAUACUUCUUGGCUAUGAAUGGCAGCUUCAAGGAGCUGGAGGUCCAUAAGCUUACUGAUGGAGGCACUCUGCUGUCAGUAGACGGCGCGUCUUUCACGACCUACCUGAAAGACGAAGUGGAUAAGUACAGAAUUGUGAUUGGCAACCAGACCGUGGUCUUCGAGAAGGAAAAGGACCCGUCGAAGCUGCGCGCGCCGUCUGCUGGCAAACUGAUCAACUGUCUGGUCGAGGAUGGUGGACAUGUUGCCAAGGGACAGCCUACUGCUGAGAUUGAGGUGAUGAAGAUGGUGAUGACAUUAUCGGCCCCAGAGUCCGGCAAAGUGACGUGGAACCUUCGACCUGGUGCUGUGCUCGAGAUGGGCUCGCUGAUGGGCACCCUUGAGCUGGACGACCCCUCGCUGGUGACAACGGCGCAACCCUACAAGGGCCAGUUCCCUCUGGAUGACGGGCCCACAGUCUCGGACAAACUGAACCAUGCGCACAACAAGUUUAGGUCCAUAUUGGAGAACACACUUGCUGGUUUUUGCCUACCCGAGCCCUACAAUACGCCGAGAUUGCGUGAAGUGGUCGAGAAGUUCAUGCAGAGCUUACGUGACCCAUCACUGCCACUCCUGGAGUUGCAAGAGGUCUUAUCGUCAACGUCGGGCCGCAUCCCAAUCUCGGUUGAGAAGAAGGUCCGGAAGCUGAUGGCUUUGUACGAGAGGAAUAUUACCAGCGUCUUGGCGCAGUUCCCCAGCCAGCAGAUCGCUAGUGUCAUUGACCACCACGCCGCGUCCCUGCAGAAGCGCGCCGACAGAGAUGUGUUCUUCAUGAGCACACAGGCUUUAGUUGUCCUCGUGCAGAGAUACAGGAACGGUAUCCGCGGCAGAAUGAAGGCGGCAGUCCACGACCUGCUCAAACAAUACUACCAGGUCGAGAGCCACUUCCAACUCGGUUCCUACGACAAGUGCGUGAUGGCGCUCCGUGAUCGCUACAAGGACGACAUGCAGGCCGUCGCCAACAUCAUAUUCUCACAUAACCAGGUCGCCAAGAAAAAUUUGCUGGUGACCCUCCUAAUAGACCACCUUUGGUCUAACGAGCCUGGUCUCACUGACGAACUAGCUGCCACACUGAAUGAGUUGACAUCCCUGCAUCGCGCCGAGCACAGUCGCGUGGCGUUGAGGGCUAGGCAGGUGCUCAUAGCGGCGCACCAGCCCGCUUACGAGCUGCGCCACAACCAGAUGGAGUCCAUCUUCCUCUCCGCCGUGGACAUGUACGGGCACGACUUCCAUCCGGAGAACCUGCAGAAGCUGAUCCUCAGCGAGACCAGCAUCUUUGACAUCCUACACGACUUCUUCUACCACACCAAUGCCGCGGUAUGCAACGCGGCUUUAGAGGUUUACGUGCGUAGAGCUUACACUUCGUACGACAUCACGUGUCUGCAGCACCUCGCGCUGUCCGGCGAGCUGGGCGUCGUGCACUUCCAGUUUGUGCUCCCCACAGGACAUCCCAACAGGAUCCCCCUCAGCCAAUCGGAGAUCGAGCUGGCAUCAGCUCAAGACCAGGAAGGGUGUCCCGCGGAGCUGAGCUCAGCGGCCCAGAGGAAGUGCCACCACCGCACCGGCGCUCUCGCCUCGUUCGAGAGCUUCGACCAGUUCACGCAGUACGCUGACGAGCUCCUCGACCUGGUGCACGACUUCGCCAGCUCCGCUACUGUCAGACGGGAGGAUCUGCAGGCUCUGCAGGAGGGCAGCGAGAGCCGAGACAGCACCAGCAUCAACGUAGGUGACUACAAGGCCAACAUCGACGCUGAUGAAGUGCCCCUGGAGCCGAUCCACAUCCUAAUGAUCGGGGUCCGCGACACCGGUGAGACAGACGACAGCGCCGUCGCGAGACGCUUCGGUAACUUCUGUCGUGCGCACAGGCACGAGCUGCAUCAGAAGCGUAUACGCAGGAUCACCUUCAUGUCUCUUAUCAAACGUCAAUUCCCCAAGUUCUUCACGUACCGCGCCCGCAACGAUUUCACCGAGGACACGAUCUACCGCCACCUGGAGCCGGCGUCCGCGUUCCAGCUGGAGCUGUACCGCAUGAGGAGCUACGAGCUGGAGGCGCUGCCCACCAGCAACCAGAAGAUGCACCUGUACCUCGGGAAGGCCAAGGUGAAGAAAGGGCAGGAGGUCACCGACUACCGGUUCUUCAUCCGGUCCAUCAUCCGGCACCAGGACCUCAUCACCAAGGAGGCCAGCUUCGAGUAUCUGCAGAAUGAGGGCGAAAGGGUGCUGUUGGAAGCGAUGGACGAACUAGAGGUGGCAUUCUCCCACCCACUGGCCAAGAGGACCGACUGCAACCACAUCUUCCUCAACUUCGGACCCACCGUCAUCAUGGACCCUGCCAAGAUUGAAGAGUCGGUGCUGGGCAUGGUGAUGCGGUACGGACCUCGGUUGUGGAAACUGCGCGUCUUGCAGGCCGAGAUUCGAUUCACGCUCAGAAUUGGCCCUGGAGCGCCCACAAAGAAUGUCCGCCUGUGCCUGUCGAACGGCUCGGGAUAUUCCCUGGAUGUGUAUACUUACGAGGAGGUGUCUGACCCCAGGACCGGAGUGAUAAUGUUCCAGUCGUACGGCCCAAAACAAGGUCCCAUGCAUGGUCUGCCGAUCUCCACGCCAUACGUCACCAAAGACUAUCUGCAGCAGAAGAGAUUCCUGGCGACGUCCCAAGGCACGACGUACGUUUACGAUAUCCCGGACAUGUUCAGACAGAUCGUCGAGAAGAGAUGGAGGGAGUGCAUCGAGGAUGGCAGCGUUGAUGGUCCCCCUCCGGAUACGGUUAUGUCUAGCGUGGAGCUGGUGGUGGAACCUGAUGGUGAACGCAGGGUGGUGGAGGUCACCAGGCUACCAGGACAGAACACUGUUGGCAUGGUCGCUUGGCGCAUGACCCUCUUCACGCCAGAGGUCCCCAGAGGUCGCGACAUGAUCCUGAUCGCCAACGACCUCACACACUACAUGGGGUCGUUUGGACCUCAAGAGGACUGGGUUUAUUACCGCGCUUCGCAGUACGCUAGGGAGCUUAAGAUUCCAAGGAUAUAUGUGAGCGUCAACUCCGGCGCACGUAUCGGCGUGGCAGAGGAAGUGAAGUCGGAGUUCAACGUGGCGUGGGUGGACGCGGAGCGCCCUGAGAGAGGGUUUAAGUACUUGUACCUCACGCCGGAGUCUUACUCUAAGCUCGGACCCCUGGGUUCAGUCAAGACCCAGCUGAUUGAAGACGAGGGGGAGAGCAGAUACAAGAUUACAGAUAUCAUUGGCAAGGAAGACGGCCUGGGCGUGGAGUGCCUGCGCGACGCGGGGCUGAUCGCGGGCGAGACCGCGCAGGCGUACGAGGACAUCGUCACCAUCUCCGUCGUCACCUGCCGCGCCAUCGGCAUCGGAUCCUACGUCGUGCGUCUCGGCCACAGAGUGGUUCAAGUGGAGUCCUCGUACAUCAUCCUAACGGGCCACGCGGCGCUGAACAAGGUGCUCGGGCGCGCCGUGUACGCCAGCAACAACCAGCUGGGUGGCGUGCAGAUCAUGCACAACAACGGGGUGUCCUCCGCCGUGGCGCACACCGACCUCGACGCCAUCAAGACCGUUGUCACGUGGCUGUCUUACGUGCCCAAGGACAAAUUGAGCACAGUGCCAAUAAUGCGCACAGUGGACCCAAUAGACCGACCGGUGGAGUGGGUGCCUACCAGAGCCCCCCACGACCCGCGGUUCAUGCUCGCCGGAGACGGCACUAAGGCUGGGUUCUUCGACGUCGGCUCCUUCGACGAGGUCAUGAGGCCCUGGGCACAGACUGUCAUCACCGGUCGCGCCCGUCUGGGCGGCAUCCCGGUGGGGGUGGUGGCGGUGGAGACCCGCACGGUGGAGCUGACGCUGCCGGCAGACCCCGCCAACCUGGACUCCGAGGCCAAGACCGUCCAGCAGGCCGCACAGGUGUGGUUCCCCGACUCAGCGUAUAAAACAUCUCAAGCCAUCAACGACUUCUCGCGCGAGAACCUGCCCAUCAUCAUAUUCGCCAACUGGCGAGGGUUCAGCGCUGGACAGAAAGACAUGUACGAACAAAUCCUGAAGUUCGGCGCGGAGAUCGUGCGCGCCCUGCGCGGGGCCACGGCGCCCGUGCUGGUGUACAUCCCGCCCGGCGCCGAGCUGCGCGGCGGCGCCUGGGCCGUCGUCGACCCCAGCGUCAACGCCACGCGCAUGGAGAUGUACGCCGACAACGAGGCCAGAGGAGGCAUCUUGGAACCGGAGGGCACAGUAGAAGUCAAGUUCAAGCCCAGAGAUAUCCUCAAGACCAUGCACAGGAUGGACCCCGAGCUGCUCAGACUAGGAUCCAGAAUAUCAGAAUUAAAGGAACAAAUUAAGGAGAUAUCGAAGAACUUAGACAGAAGAGGCUCCGUCGACGACGCCAUCAUCAAGACUGACGCGGGUAAACAAGCUGAAUCCAAAGUACGCGAGUUGGAAACGGAACUUUUGGCUGCCGAGAAGACGGUGAAAGCGCGGGAAAAGGAACUCAGCCCCAUAUAUCAUGAGAUCGCCGUCCAAUUCGCCGAAUUACAUGACACUGCUGAAAGAAUGUUAGAAAAGGGCUGCAUAUUUGACAUAAUCCCGUGGCGCGAGUCCCGGCGCCUGCUGCACUGGCGCCUCAAGCGGCUGCUGCGGCAGAACGAGCAGGAGCGCCGCAUCCAGGCCGCCGGCGUGCUGCCCGCCGCGCGCAUGGACCACGGCGCCGCCGCCGCCACGCUGCGGCGCUGGUUCGCCGAGGACCGCGGGCAGCCGCAGUCGCACCAGUGGGAGCACGACAACGAGGCCGUGUGCCGGUGGCUGGAGGCGCAGGCCGGCGACCCUGCCUCCGUGCUCAACACCAACCUCCGCGCCAUCAGGGAGGACAACGUGUUGCACACAGUCAACUCGCUUGUUAUGGAACUAACGCCGGCGCAGCGCUCGGAAUUCAUUAGAAAGCUGUCGGCCUUAGAACUCAACCAAUAACAUGCCCGUGAUCAACAUCGGACGUCGCCGAACCAAUAGUAACUUAAUAGAGAACAAAUUUGUAGGUAAUUUGAAAUAGGUAAUCGGGUUUUUGGAGGGAUUUUAAUAAGAUCGUUAUUAAGAUCGAUACUGAUAUCGAUUAACAUACAUACAUAAACUCACGCCUGUUUCCCACCGGGGUAAGCAGAGAGCGUGGCAUAUUGGUAGGAAACACUAUAUUUUACCAAUGGUUGCUUAUACACGGUGUUAGUGACAUCGUAACGAAAACUUUGAGGGAUGAUUCAGAC
rnacentral:misc_RNA from 1 species